AUUUUGUGCAAUUUCUAUUGGCAACACUGGUGCAGACAGCCACGGACUACGGACCAUUGAGCAACCUCAGCUUUUUAGUAAUUAAAAAAAUUUUUAAAUUUCAAAUUAAGAAUGAGGAAAAUACAACAGGAAAAUUUUGGACGAGCUGGAAAUUCCAAUAACCUAAUAGAAAAAAGUCGUGAGUCUGUAAUAGCUAACUUAGUUAUCUUCGGAGCAAUGAUUGGAAUUAUAAGAGUAUUGCCUUUGAUUUUCCAAAAUUAGUACAGAUGGGCAUCUAGGAAAAUAACAAAUGUAAAAACAGUUAUUGUAUUUAGUUAACUUUCGUACAAUGUAUCUUAUUUCUAAAGUUAAUCUAUAUACAUGUUUAGAAUGAAAUACAAUCAGAAUUCCUUUUUA